GAGUCUGAUGGAGCACGCCGCGUGAGCGAUGAAGGCCUUCGGGUCGUAAAGCUCUGUUGUUAGGGAAGAACAAGUACCGGAGUAACUGCCGGUACCUUGACGGUACCUAACCAGAAAGCCACGGCUAACUACGUGCCAGCAGCCGCGGUAAUACGUAGGUGGCAAGCGUUGUCCGGAAUUAUUGGGCGUAAAGCGCGCGCAGGCGGUCCUUUAAGUCUGAUGUGAAAGCCCACGGCUCAACCGUGGAGGGUCAUUGGAAACUGGGGGACUUGAGUGCAGAAGAGGAAAGCGGAAUUCCACGUGUAGCGGUGAAAUGCGUAGAGAUGUGGAGGAACACCAGUGGCGAAGGCGGCUUUCUGGUCUGUAACUGACGCUGAGGCGCGAAAGCGUGGGGAGCAAACAGGAUUAGAUACCCUGGUAGUCCACGCCGUAAACGAUGAGUGCUAAGUGUUAGAGGGUUUCCGCCCUUUAGUGCUGCAGCUAACGCAUUAAGCACUCCGCCUGGGGAGUACGGCCGCAAGGCUGAAACUCAAAGGAA
rnacentral:rRNA from 2 species